rnacentral:rRNA from 1 species
GACGAACGCUGGCGGCGUGCUUAACACAUGCCAGUCGAACGGAAAGGCCCUGCUUGCCGGGUACUCGAGUGGCGAACGGGUGAGUAACACGUGGGUGAUCUGCCCUGCACUUCGGGAUAAGCCUGGGAAACUGGGUCUAAUACCGGAUAGGAGCCAUUUUUAGUGUGAUGGUUGGAAAGUUUUUUCGGUGUAGGAUGAGCUCGCGGCCUAUCAGCUUGUUGGUGGGGUAAUGGCCUACCAAGGCGGCGACGGGUAGCCGGCCUGGGAGGGUGGACGGGCACAUUGGGACUGGGAUACGGGCCAGACUCCUAAGGGAGGCAGCAGGGGGGAAUAUUGCACAAUGGGCGGAAGCCUGAUGCAGCGACGCCGCGUGGGGGAUGACGGCCUUCGGGUUGUAAACUCCUUUCGCUAGGGACGAAGCUUUUUGUGACGGUACCUAGAUAAGAAGCACCGGCUAACUACGUG